rnacentral:misc_RNA from 1 species
GAUGAAGAACGUAGCGAAAUGCGAUACGUAGUGUGAAUUGCGGAAUUCAGUGAAUCAUCGAAUCUUUGAACGCACAUUGCACCUCUCGGUAUUCCGGGAGGUAUGCCUGUUCGAGCGUCAUUUGUACCCUCAAGCUCUGCUUGGUGUUGGGUGUUUGUUCCGCCUCUGUGUGUGAACUCGCCUCAAAACAAUUGGCAGCCGGCGUACUUGUUUCGGAGCGCAGCACAUUUUGCGAUCCAGAUCAACGUACAGCGGCAUCCAAGAAGCCUUAUUUAACGCUCUUGACCUCGGAUCAGGUAGGGAUACCCGCUGAACUUAAGCAUAUCAAUAAGGGAGGA